rnacentral:rRNA from 1 species
CCCAGUAACGGCGAGUGAAGCGGCAACAGCUCAAAUUUGAAAUCUGGCUUACGCCCGAAUUGUAAUUUGUAGAGGAUGCUUUUGGUGCGGUGCCUUCUGAGUUCCCUGGAACGGGACGCCGAAGAGGGUGAGAGCCCCGUAUAGUCGGACACCAAGCCUUUGUAAAGCUCCUUCGACGAGUCGAGUAGUUUGGGAAUGCUGCUCAAAAUGGGAGGUAAAUGCCUUCUAAAGCUAAAUACCGGCCAGAGACCGAUAGCGCACAAGUAGAGUGAUCGAAAGAUGAAAAGCACUUUGAAAAGAGGGUUAAAUAGUACGUGAAAUUGUUGAAAGGGAAGCGCUCAUGACCAGACUUGCGCCUUGUGAAUCACCCAGCGUUCUCGCUGGUGCACUUCGCUUGGUUCAGGCCAGCAUCGAUUUUCCUAGGGGGACAAAAGCGGCGGGAACGUAGCUCCUCCGGGAGUGUUAUAGCCCGUUGCAGAAUACCUCUGGGGGGAUCGAGGACCGCGCUUCGGCAAGGAUGCUGGCGUAAUGGUCAUCAGCGACCCGUCUUGAAACACGGACCAAGGAGUCAAGCAUUAGGGCGAGUGUUUGGGUGUUAAACCCGCACGCGAAAUGAAAGUGAACGCAGGUGAGAGCUUCGGCGCAUCAUCGACCGAUCCUGAUGUUUUCGGAUGGAUUUGAGUAAGAGCCUUGCCGCUUGGACCCGAAAGAUGGUGAACUAUGCUUGGAUAGGGUGAAGCCAGAGGAAACUCUGGUGGAGGCUCGCAGCGGUUCUGACGUGCAAAUCGAUCGUCAAAU